rnacentral:rRNA from 1 species
GGAGUUAAUUUUGGAGCUUGCUUUUGAAUUACUUAGGGCGGACGGGUGAGUAACGCGUGGGUAAACCUGCCUCAUACAGGGGGAUAACAGUUAGAAAUGACUGCUAAUACCGCAUAAGACCACAGCACCGCAUGGUGCGAGGGGUAAAAACUCCGGUGGUAUGAGAUGGACCCGCGUCUGAUUAGCUAGUUGGUAAGGUAACGGCUUACCAAGGCAACGAUCAGUAGCCGACCUGAGAGGGUGACCGGCCACAUUGGGACUGAGACACGGCCCAAACUCCUACGGGAGGCAGCAGUGGGGAAUAUUGCACAAUGGGGGAAACCCUGAUGCAGCGACGCCGCGUGAGCGAAGAAGUAUUUCGGUAUGUAAAGCUCUAUCAGCAGGGAAGAAACUGACGGUACCUGACUAAGAAGCACCGGCUAAAUACGUGCC